GACGAACGCUGGCGGCAUGCCUAACACAUGCAAGUCGAACGGAAAGUUCCUGCUUUUGUGGGGACCGCGAGUGAAGACCGGGUGAGUUACACGUGAGUAACCUGUACUUGACUUUGGGAUAUGUUAAUGCCACUGGGGCCCUUCCCGGAUAGGAGUUACUGCUGUAUGGUGGGCGUUGGACUGUUUCGGCGGUUGGUGAUGGAAUCGCGGCUCCUCAGCUUGGUUGUGGGGUAGUGGCUUACCAAGGCUUUGACGGGUUGCCGGUCUGAGAGGGUGACCGGCCACAUUAGGACUGAGAUACGGCCCAGCCUCCUACGGGAGGCAGCGGUGGAGAAUAUUGCACAGUGGGCGGAGGCCUGAUGCAGCAAAGCCGCGUGCGGGAUGACGGCCUUCGGGUUGUAAACCACUUUCGCCUGUGACGAAGCGUGAGUGACGGUAAUGGGUAAAGAAGCACCGGCUAACUACGUG
rnacentral:rRNA from 1 species